AAUUGAGAGACCUGGCAGGGUAUCUGACCAGUCUUUUGUUGAGCUAGCUGGGCAGGCUUGAGCUCCGAGGAUCAAACUGGGGAGCAAUGGGAGAAUUCUGGAGAGAGACUGCUGAUGGAGGGAAGAGAACCGAGCCCUAACCUCUGUAUCCUUCCCUCCACAGAAGCAGCCAUCCAUCCAGAAGCAGCCUCCGUGUUCCAUUUGUCCGGAUGUCAUCGUAGGUGGCCGGCAUCUCUGGCUUUGGGGCAGACAUCCAGAUCUGAUGAGGCAUGGCUGCCCCGGGAUUACUGGGCUCGGACGGGAGCAGUGGUAGGAAGGAUCCUAUGUAAGUCAUGUGAGACAUAGAAUGUUCAGAUCAACUGAAGCUGAAACAAGCCUUUGGCAUCAUAUAUAACCCAGAAAGGGACACAGCUGCAGGUUCCUUGAAUGCUUGGUUUA
rnacentral:lncRNA from 1 species